AUUGAACGCUGGCGGCAGGCCUAACACAUGCAAGUCGAGCGAGCGGCGGACGGGUGAGUAAUGUCUGGUGAACUGCCUGAUGGAGGGGGAUAACUAGUGGGAAAGGUAGGUAAUACCGCAACCCAUCCAAGGAACCCAUAUGGGAUUGGCGAGUAGGGGUGGAAAAGGCUCACCUAGGGGACGAUCCCUUGCUGGUCUGAGAGGAUGAGCAGCCACACUGGAACUGAGACCCGGCCCAGACUCCUACGGGAGGCAGCAGUGGGGAAUAUUGCACAAUGGGCGCAAGCCUGAUGCAGCCAUGCGGGGUGGAUGAAGAAGGCUUUCGGUUUGUAAAGUACUUUCAUCCGGGAGGCGUUACCGACAGAAGAAGCACCGGCUAACUCCGUGCCAGCAGCCGCGGUAAUUC
rnacentral:rRNA from 1 species